GAGUUAAAUUAUUUGCGAAACGUUUCCGCGGGAAUCCGGCCGGCGAGUCAACCAAUCUACUUGACUGGUUCAAGUCGAACUGUCCUGAACGAAUAACGACGCCCGAGUUAUAGUUAGUUUUGCAAUGCAAACGGAUUUAAGCGAUCGAGACGGGCUACCGAUUCUCAGGUUAAAAUAAUGACACCGAGUCGAGAGUUGAUGGAU